rnacentral:rRNA from 1 species
CGAGCGUUGUUCGGAAUCACUGGGCUUAAAGAGCACGUAGACGGUCUGUCAAGCGUCUUGUGAAAGCCCUCGGCUCAACCGGGGAAUUGCUUGGCGAACUGGCAGACUUGAGGCAGGUAGGGGCAGUUGGAACUCUUGGUGGAGCGGUGGAAUGCGUAGAUAUCAAGAGGAACGCCAGAGGCGAAGGCGAACUGCUGGGCCCGUCCUGACGCUGAGGUGCGAAAGCCAGGGUAGCGAACGGGAUUAGAUACCCCGGUAGUCCUGGCCCUAAACGAUGUCCACUAGAUCGAGGAUUCUCUGAAGGAUUCUUGGUCGAAAUGAAAACGUUAAGUGGACCGCCUGGGGAGUACGGUCGCAAGGCUAAAACUCAAAGGAAUUGACGGGGGCUCACACAAGCGGUGGAGCAUGUUGCUUAAUUCGAUGCAACGCGAAGGACCUUAUCCUGGGCUUGACAUGCUUGGAUGCCCAUCUGGAAACAGAGUAGGCUGCCCUUCGGGGUGAAACUUGCACAGGUGCUGCAUGGCUGUCGUCAGCUCGUGUCGUGAGAUGUCGGGUUAAGUCCCAUAACGAGCGAAACCCUUGUCACUAGUUGCCAGCGCGUAAUGGCGGGGACUCUAGUGAGACUGCCGGUGUUAAACCGGAGGAAGGUGGGGAUGACGUCAAGUCCUCAUGGCCUUUAUGCCCAGGGCUGCAAACGUGCUACAAUGGCCGGUACAAACCGAAGCGAAACGGCGACGUGGAGCAAAUCGGAAAAAGCCGGCCUCAGUUCGGAUUGGAGUCUGCAACUCGACUCCAUGAAGUUGGAUUCGCUAGUAACGGCGUAUCAGCUACGACGCCGUGAAUACGUUCCCGGGCCUUGUACACACCGCCCGUCACAUCAUGAAAGCCGUCUGCACCCGAAGUCACUGAACCAACCAGCAAUGGAGGGAGGUGCCGAAGGUGUGGGUGGUGAUUGGGAUGAAGUCGU